UAACACGUGGGUAACCUGCCCCAAUGAUUGGGACAACCCGAGGAAACUCGGGCUAAUACCGAAUGUGCCCUCCGGCCAUAAGGCCGCUGGGGAAAGGAAGCUUCGGCCUCCGCAUCGGGAUGGGCCCGCGGCCCAUUAGCUUGUUGGUGAGGUAAUGCUCACCAAGGCUUUGAUGGGUAGCUGGUCUGAGAGGACGAUCAGCCACACUGGGACUGAGACACGGCCCAG
rnacentral:rRNA from 1 species